rnacentral:lncRNA from 1 species
AUUUUGCUCAGGAUUUUGGAGGGGAAAAAAAUGGGAAUUUGAGGCAGGGAAAAUUUUUUCCAAUCUCACAUUUUGUUCAGGAUUUUGGAGGAGAAAAUUGGGGGAAAAAAUGGGAAUUUGAGGCAAGGAAAAUUUUUUCCAACCUCACAUUUUGCUCAGGAUUUUGGAGGGGAAAAUUGGGGGAAAAUUGGGGUGAAAUCAGGAAAUUGGAGGAUUUUCCCACCUCACAUUUUGUGUUUCCUGAUCACAAUUUCAGAGGGGAAAAUUGGGGUAAAAUCAGGAAAUUUGAGGCAGGAAAAGGGGGAGUUUUCCCACCUCACAUUUUGCAUUUCCCGAGCACAAUUUCAGAGGUGAAAAUCGGGCUGAAAUCGGGGUAAAAUCAGGAAAUCCGAGGCAGCAAGGGGGCGCUUUUCCCACCUCACAUCUCGUGUACCCGAGCACAAUUUCAGAGGUGGAAAUCGCGGUAAAAUCGGGCUGAAAUCGGGGUAAAAUCAGGAAAUUUGAGGCAGGAAAAGGGGGAGUUUUCCCACCUCACAUCUUGU